GGGGUUGUGGCUCAGUGGUAGAGUGCUUGCCUAGCAUGUGUGAGGCCCUGGGUUCGAUCCUCAGCACCA
rnacentral:tRNA from 1 species